CCUACGGGAGGCAGCAGUGAGGAAUAUUGGUCAAUGGACGAGAGUCUGAACCAGCCAAGUAGCGUGAAGGAUGACUGCCCUAUGGGUUGUAAACUUCUUUUAUAUGGGAAUAAAAUGUUCCACGUGUGGGAUUUUGUAUGUACCAUAUGAAUAAGGAUCGGCUAACUCCGUGCCAGCAGCCGCGGUAAUACGGAGGAUCCGAGCGUUAUCCGGAUUUAUUGGGUUUAAAGGGAGCGUAGGUGGAUUGUUAAGUCAGUUGUGAAAGUUUGCGGCUCAACCGUAAAAUUGCAGUUGAAACUGGCAGUCGUGAGUACAGUAGAGGUGGGCGGAAUUCGUGGGGUAGCGGUGAAAUGCUUAGAUAUCACGAAGAACUCCGAUUGCGAAGGCAGCUCACUGGACUGCAACUGACACUGAGGCUCGAAAGUGUGGGUAUCAAACAGGAUUAGAUACCCCAGUAGUC
rnacentral:rRNA from 1 species